rnacentral:miRNA from 1 species
AUAUAUAUGCAUUUGUGUGCAU